GAAACAGAGCACAAGCAAAAAUCAGUAACCAGAACGGCACUGGACUUCAGAAAAUAAAAAGCAGUGAGGCAAAGACUUUAAAAAUUAGAGAGAAUCCGACUCCAACACGGAAUUCUAGACUGGCAAGAUUUGCAAUUAAAUAUCGGGAAUGCAAAAGUUUUUUUUUUUUUUUAAAGCUAACACAUCUUUCUCUUUGUUUUUUCUCCUUCCAGAAAGCAACUAAAACAUGUACUCCUAAAAAAUAAAUAGGGAUUCAAGAAAAUGAAAGCUCGAGGACUCAAGAAGCGGCGAAAGGGGAUGGAGAGAAUUCCUAGAAUGGUGACAAAGGGAAGGCUGGAGAAAAGGCGGCAGUGGAAGAAGAGAAGGAGGUGGCAAGCAGUGGGCGAGGCUGCUCUGAGAAGAAGAGAGGAAGGUGAGGAUGGCUGCGACAACACGGAGGAAAACAACCCGGAUUUGCCGAACGUGUUCCUGGCAGCGCAGUUUCACACACAGCAGCUGUGAACUGGAGACUGGCACUUGCCAUGCACCUCUACGUGGACUGAAUCAUGAGCUGAUGCAGCUACUGGCCCUCACUAGCCCCUGAAAGGAGCUCCGGGUGGAGAUCAGGAGUGAGGCCCUCUGCGCUCUGGGAAAACUGGAAGAACAGGUCUUCAGAUGGUUAGAUCUCUUCAGAGACAAUUUUAUGAGCCCACUUCUUGCAUCUCCUCUUAUCUAGAAAUGCACUAAAAUCCUUCAUGGUAACAUCUACUCCUCCUGACUAGCAGUAACCUUCAUGAGAUCAGCAGCAAGCUUCUGCAAAAUGUGUGCAAGGCUGCAUGCACCUCCCUCCCCUUCACCAAAAUCACAUAUAUACUGACCUUACCCCCCACCUCUUUGGAGGAGUAUUUCAGAGCUUUCUGAAAUGCUGCCUCCCAGGCUAUAGUGCUCAUUUUGCUCCAAAUAAAACUUAAUUCACAACUCUCA
rnacentral:lncRNA from 1 species